UGAUAUUGUUGGGUCAUAUAUUAGCCUGGU
rnacentral:piRNA from 1 species